rnacentral:rRNA from 1 species
AGUGAACGCUGGCGGUAGGCCUAACACAUGCAAGUCGAACGGCAGCACAGUAAUAGCUUGCUCUUACGGGUGGCGAGUGGCGGACGGGUGAUGUAUACAUCGGAUUCUACUUUUUCGUUGGUGCUAACGUAGGGAAACUUACGCUAAUACCGCAUAUGACCUACGUGUGAAAGCAGGCGAUCUUCGGACCUUGCGCGAUUGUAUGAGCCGGUGUCGGAUUAGCUAGUUUGCGGGGUAAAGGCCCACCAAGGCGACGAUCCGUAGCUGGUCUGAGCGGAUGAUCAGGCAGACGGGAACUGAGACAGGGUACAGACUCCGAAGGGAGGCAGCAGUGGGGAAUAUUGGACAAUGGGCGAAAGAGUGAUCCAGCGAUACUGCGGGAGGGAAGAAGGAGCUAGGGUUGGAAAACGAUGUUGGUGGGAAAGAAAAGAAGUAGGUUAAUAGGGGGCGGUUAUGACGGUACCCAAAGAAGAAGCACCGGCUAACUUCGUG